rnacentral:lncRNA from 1 species
GGUUAUCCUAGCAAAGAGCCCUUAUCCUUAGGUGAUUCAGGGGCAUUCUAAAGGUCACCUAAUUAACAAAACAAAUUGCGCUUUGGAAUUUCUCCAAGGGUUUUAGAAACUGUGCUAGAAGAGGGGAUGACAAACACAUACAUAUUUCUUUUUAUAAAUGACAAUAUCACACCAGGUAAUCAAUCAGCCCAAAUAUACCUCAGAAGAUGCCAGCAAGAGCUCAAUAGAUGUACAAGAAUCAUUUUCUCCUCAUCUGCCCUAACGCCUCAUUUGUAUUCUGAAAUAAGAAGCUCCACUCUUUGGACUAAAUGGAGAGUUUCCAUCAUCCUUUCCAAUUCACUCAUCUCUAAAGGAAGGAGCCUUUGGAACUGGAGAACUGAGCAAACAGAAUUCUGUCCACCAUUCUUUCCUUUUGGACCUGCCGGCAUGCAGAGAAGAGAUAUAUUUGACUCAACUCCUGAUGCUACAAGGUGGAUACCACUCAGAUGAGACCUUCUAGAAACAGACCUGGAGGAAUUUAUCUUCCUCUCCCCCUCUGCUUUUCCAGUCUCUGUAAGACAGCUACUCAUGGUGUCUCCAAGGCAUAACAAUACCAUUGCCAAGAAGCCUGAUGUGACUCUGUAUCUGUAUUACUUUUGGUGCUCUAUUUUUAGUAGUUUAA